rnacentral:rRNA from 1 species
AAAAAAGGUAAGCUACUAAGAGCGAAUGGUGGAUGCCUUGACUGGUAAAGGCGAUGAAGGACGUACUAGACUGCGAUAAGCUACGGGGAGCUGUCAAGAAGCUUUGAUCCGUAGAUUUCCGAAUGGGGCAACCCAAUGUAUAGAGAUAUACAUUACCUAUAUAGGAGCGAACGAGGGGAAUUGAAACAUCUUAGUACCCUCAGGAAAAGAAAUCAAUAGAGAUUGCGUCAGUAGCGGCGAGCGAAAGCGCAAGAGGGCAAACCCAGUGCUUGCACUGGGGGUUGUAGGACUGCAAUGUGCAAGAGGUGAGUUUAGCAGAACAUUCUGGAAAGUAUAACCAUAGAGGGUGAUAGUCCCGUAUGCGAAAAACAAACCUUAGCUAGCAGUAUCCUGAGUAGGGCGGGACACGAGGAAUCCUGUCUGAAGCUGGGUCGACCACGAUCCAACCCUAAAUACUAAUACCAGAUCGAUAGUGCACAAGUACCGUGAGGGAAAGGUGAAAAGAACUGAGGUGAUCAGAGUGAAAUAGAACCUGAAACCAUUUGCUUACAAUCAUUCAGAGCCCUAUGUAGCAAUACAGGGUGAUGGACUGCCUUUUGCAUAAUGAGCCUGCGAGUUGUGGUGUCUGGCAAGGUUAAGCAAACGCGAAGCCGUAGCGAAAGCGAGUCUGAAUAGGGCGCUUAGUCAGAUGCUGCAGACCCGAAACGAAGUGAUCUAUCCAUGAGCAAGUUGAAGCUAGUGUAAGAACUAGUGGAGGACUGAACCCAUAGGCGUUGAAAAGCCCCGGGAUGACUUGUGGAUAGGGGUGAAAGGCCAAUCAAACUUCGUGAUAGCUGGUUCUCUCCGAAAUAUAUUUAGGUAUAGCGUUGUGUCGUAAUAUAAGGGGGUAGAGCACUGAAUGGGCUAGGGCAUACACCAAUGUACCAAACCCUAUCAAACUCCGAAUACCUUAUAUGUAAUCACAGCAGUCAGGCGGCGAGUGAUAAAAUCCGUCGUCAAGAGGGAAACAACCCAGACUACCAGCUAAGGUCCCUAAAUCUUACUUAAGUGGAAAACGAUGUGAAGUUACUUAAACAACCAGGAGGUUGGCUUAGAAGCAGCCAUCCUUUAAAGAAAGCGUAAUAGCUCACUGGUCUAGUGAUUUUGCGCGGAAAAUAUAACGGGGCUAAAGUAAGUACCGAAGCUGUAGACUUGCACACAACUUAGAUUAUUUAAGUUUAGAAUAUGAGAAACUAAGUUAUAUGUUUAGUUAUAUUUUUACUGAUUUUUAUAGAGUAAAGAUAGAAAUAAAACUUAGUAAAAUCAGUAAAAAUAUUCUUAGACUAAAGUUAAGUAGUUUAAGUUGUGUGCAAGUGGUAGGAGAGCGUUCUAUUUGCGUCGAAGGUAUACCGGUAAGGAGUGCUGGAGCGAAUAGAAGUGAGCAUGCAGGCAUGAGUAGCGAUAAUUAAUGUGAGAAUCAUUAACGCCGUAAACCCAAGGUUUCCUACGCGAUGCUCGUCAUCGUAGGGUUAGUCGGGUCCUAAGUCGAGUCCGAAAGGGGUAGACGAUGGCAAAUUGGUUAAUAUUCCAAUACCAACAUUAGUGUGCGAUGGAAGGACGCUUAGGGCUAAGGGGGCUAGCGGAUGGAAGUGCUAGUCUAAGGUCGUAGGAGGUUAUACAGGCAAAUCCGUAUAACAAUACUCCGAGAACUGAAAGGCUUUUUGAAGUCUUCGGAUGGAUAGAAGAACCCCUGAUGCCGUCGAGCCAAGAAAAGUUUCUAAGUUUAGCUAAUGUUGCCCGUACCGUAAACCGACACAGGUGGGUGGGAUGAGUAUUCUAAGGCGCGUGGAAGAACUCUCUUUAAGGAACUCUGCAAAAUAGCACCGUAUCUUCGGUAUAAGGUGUGGUUCGCUUCGUAUUAGGAUUUACUCCGAAAGCGAAGAAACUUACAACAAAGAGUCCCUCCCGACUGUUUACCAAAAACACAGCACUCUGCUAACUCGUAAGAGGAUGUAUAGGGUGUGACGCCUGCCCGGUGCUCGAAGGUUAAUUGAUGGGGUUAGCAUUAGCGAAGCUCUUGAUCGAAGCCCGAGUAAACGGCGGCCGUAACUAUAACGGUCCUAAGGUAGCGAAAUUCCUUGUCGGUUAAAUACCGACCUGCAUGAAUGGCGUAACGAGAUGGGAGCUGUCUCAAAGAGGGAUCCAGUGAAAUUGUAGUGGAGGUGAAAAUUCCUCCUACCCGCGGCAAGACGGAAAGACCCCGUGGACCUUUACUACAGCUUGACACUGCUAUUUGGAUAAGAAUGUGCAGGAUAGGUGGGAGGCUUUGAGUAUAUGACGCCAGUUGUAUAUGAGCCAUUGUUGAGAUACCACUCUUUCUUAUUUGGGUAGCUAACCAGCUUGAGUUAUCCUCAAGUGGGACAAUGUCUGGUGGGUAGUUUGACUGGGGCGGUCGCCUCCCAAAUAAUAACGGAGGCUUACAAAGGUUGGCUCAGAACGGUUGGAAAUCGUUCGUAGAGUAUAAAGGUAUAAGCCAGCUUAACUGCAAGACAUACAAGUCAAGCAGAGACGAAAGUCGGUCUUAGUGAUCCGGUGGUUCUGUGUGGAAGGGCCAUCGCUCAAAGGAUAAAAGGUACCCCGGGGAUAACAGGCUGAUCUCCCCCAAGAGCUCACAUCGACGGGGAGGUUUGGCACCUCGAUGUCGGCUCAUCGCAUCCUGGGGCUGGAGCAGGUCCCAAGGGUAUGGCUGUUCGCCAUUUAAAGCGGUACGCGAGCUGGGUUCAGAACGUCGUGAGACAGUUCGGUCCCUAUCUGCCGUGGGCGUAAGAAGAUUGAAGAGAUUUGACCCUAGUACGAGAGGACCGGGUUGAACAAACCACUGGUGUAGCUGUUGUUCUGCCAAGAGCAUCGCAGCGUAGCUAAGUUUGGAAAGGAUAAACGCUGAAAGCAUCUAAGCGUGAAGCCAACUCUAAGAUGAAUCUUCUCUAAGCUCUCUAGAAGACUACUAGUUUGAUAGGCUGGGUGUGUAAUGGAUGAAAGUCCUUUAGCUGACCAGUACUAAUAGAGCGUUUGGCUUAUCUUUAAUAAAGCAU